rnacentral:rRNA from 1 species
GGACGAACGCUGGCGGCGUGCCUAAUACAUGCAAGUCGAACGCUUCUUUCCUCCCGAGUGCUUGCACUCAAUUGGAAAGAGGAGUGGCGGACGGGUGAGUAACACGUGGGUAACCUACCCAUCAGAGGGGGAUAACACUUGGAAACAGGUGCUAAUACCGCAUAACAGUUUAUGCCGCAUGGCAUAAGAGUGAAAGGCGCUUUCGGGUGUCGCUGAUGGAUGGACCCGCGGUGCAUUAGCUAGUUGGUGAGGUAACGGCUCACCAAGGCCACGAUGCAUAGCCGACCUGAGAGGGUGAUCGGCCACACUGGGACUGAGACACGGCCCAGACUCCUACGGGAGGCAGCAGUAGGGAAUCUUCGGCAAUGGACGAAAGUCUGACCGAGCAACGCCGCGUGAGUGAAGAAGGUUUUCGGAUCGUAAAACUCUGUUGUUAGAGAAGAACAAGGACGUUAGUAACUGAACGUCCCCUGACGGUAUCUAACCAGAAAGCCACGGCUAACUACGUGCCAGCAGCCGCGGUAAUACGUAGGUGGCAAGCGUUGUCCGGAUUUAUUGGGCGUAAAGCGAGCGCAGGCGGUUUCUUAAGUCUGAUGUGAAAGCCCCCGGCUCAACCGGGGAGGGUCAUUGGAAACUGGGAGACUUGAGUGCAGAAGAGGAGAGUGGAAUUCCAUGUGUAGCGGUGAAAUGCGUAGAUAUAUGGAGGAACACCAGUGGCGAA